rnacentral:rRNA from 1 species
CACGGAAUUAGCCGGUCCUUAUUCAUGCGGUACCUGCAAUGAAGGACACGUCCAUCACUUUAUCCCCGCAUAAAAGCAGUUUACAACCCAUAGGGCCGUCAUCCUGCACGCUACUUGGCUGGUUCAGGCUCUCGCCCAUUGACCAAUAUUCCUCACUGCUGCCUCCCGUAGGAGUUUGGACCGUGUCUCAGUUCCAAUGUGGGGGACCUUCCUCUCAGAACCCCUACUGAUCGUAGCCUUGGUGGGCCGUUACCCCGCCAACAAGCUAAUCAGACGCAUCCCCAUCCCUGACCGAUGAAAUCUUUAAUCGUCGUUGGAUGCCCGCAGACGAUGCCAUGAGGUAUUAGGCCGACUUUCGACGGGUUAUCCCUCAGUCAGAGGCAGGUUGGAUACGCGUUACUCACCGUGCGCCGGUCGACGCCCGGGGAAGCAAGCUUCCCCGUCGUUUCCCCUCGACUUGCAUGUGUUAAGCCUGUAGCCAGCGUUCAUCCUGAGCC